AAGAGCAACUGCAAAGGAAACGCGUGUGUGAAAAACAUUUCGACAAACUUCAGUUUGAAAAGUUUGAAGGCAAAAGGCUUCGGUUUUCGUAUCCUUGCCUAUUUACGGAUGAUGAAAUAACACACGGUGAACCCCUUGCAGCAGUUGGAACCGUCUCACAUGCUCUGAGUGACCACAAUUAUUUUAAAGAUCAAAAUGAUGAGGAAGACAAUGGAACAAACACUUGUCAUUGGAAGGUCAGGUGAAGACUUCCAUGAACAUCCGUCAUGCUCAUAUUCUCAAGUUGAGGCCCUCGUCCCACAGAAUAAAGGUAUG